rnacentral:rRNA from 1 species
AUGCACGCUGGCGGCGUGCCUAAUACAUGCAAGUCGAGCGCACAGACGAGGAGCUUGCUCCUCUGACGUUAGCGGCGGACGGGUGAGUAACACGUGGAUAACCUACCUAUAAGACUGGGAUAACUUCGGGAAACCGGAGCUAAUACCGGAUAAUAUAUUGAACCGCAUGGUUCCAUAGUGAAAGACGGUUUUGCUGUCACUUAUAGAUGGAUCCGCGCCGCAUUAGCUAGUUGGUAAGGUAACGGCUUACCAAGGCAACGAUGCGUAGCCGACCUGAGAGGGUGAUCGGCCACACUGGAACUGAGACACGGUCCAGACUCCUACGGGAGGCAGCAGUAGGGAAUCUUCCGCAAUGGGCGAAAGCCUGACGGAGCAACGCCGCGUGAGUGAUGAAGGUCUUCGGAUCGUAAAACUCUGUUAUUAGGGAAGAACAAAUGUGUAAGUAACUAUGCACGUCUUGACGGUACCUAAUCAGAAAGCCACGGCUAACUACGUG